AUUGAACGCUGGCGGCAGGCUUAACACAUGCAAGUCGAGCGAGCGGCGGACGGGUGAGUAAUGUCUGGGAAACUGCCUGAUGGAGGGGGAUAACUACUGGAAACGGUAGCUAAUACCGCAUACCAUCAGAUGUGCCCAGAUGGGAUUAGCUAGUAGGUGGGGUAAUGGCUCACCUAGGCGACGAUCCCUAGCUGGUCUGAGAGGAUGACCAGCCACACUGGGACUGAGACACGGUCCAGACUCCGACGGGAGGCAGCAGUGGGGAAUAUUGCACAAUGGGCGCAAGCCGGAUGCAGCCAUGCCGCGUGUAUGAAGAAGGCCUUCGGGUUGUAAAGUACUUUCAGCGGGGAGGCGUUACCCGCAGAAGAAGCACCGGCUAACUCCGUGCCAGCAGCCGCGGUAAUAC
rnacentral:rRNA from 1 species